rnacentral:rRNA from 1 species
UACGUAGGGCGCAAGCGUUAUCCGGAAUUAUUGGGCGUAAAGAGCUCGUAGGCAGUUUGUCGCGUCUGCCGUGAAAGUCCGGGGCUCAACUCCGGAUCUGCGGUGGGUACGGGCAGACUAGAGUGAUGUAGGGGAGACUGGAAUUCCUGGUGUAGCGGUGAAAUGCGCAGAUAUCAGGAGGAACACCGAUGGCGAAGGCAGGUCUCUGGGCAUUAACUGACGCUGAGGAGCGAAAGCAUGGGGAGCGAACAGG